UACGUAGGGUGCAAGCGUUGUCCGGAAUUAUUGGGCGUAAAGAGCUCGUAGGCGGUCUGUCGCGUCGGCUGUGAAAACCCGGAGCUCAACUCCGGGCCUGCAGUCGAUACGGGCAGACUGGAGUACUGCAGGGGAGACUGGAAUUCCUGGUGUAGCGGUGAAAUGCGCAGAUAUCAGGAGGAACACCGGUGGCGAAGGCGGGUCUCUGGGCAGUUACUGGCGCUGAGGAGCGAAAGCGUGGGGAGCGAACAGG
rnacentral:rRNA from 1 species